rnacentral:rRNA from 1 species
CCCAUCCCGAACACGGAAGAUAAGCCCACCAGCGUUCCGGGGAGUACUGGAGUGCGCGAGCCUCUGGGAAACGCGGUUCGCCGCCACCA